AGUGAACCAAACCAAUGUGUCUACUCAUCGCAAGAUGGUUGGUCACCUAAUUAUGCAGCAACAAAAUAGAGUUCAACAAUUUGUGGCUCUUGUACCGAAGCCGGGAGCAAAAUCUGAUUUGAACGAAAGUGUUUUGGAUGAAAGGGAGAUGAAGUCGAGUAUUACGAAGGCCCAGCGCAUUCCGACAGUAGUUCAGCACCGCUCUCAUUAUCAUCUUCGAUGGAAAACAUCCAUCUAUUAUCAGACGACGAUACUGAGGUAAAUCAUGUUGCUGCUUCAACAUCUUUGGUGUUAUACCAAAAACCAUCGCCGAUAACCAACCCUUGUUUGCCACUAAUUUUAUCGCCAAAUAUAUUUGAAAUGAGACACCUGCAUUCGUUGGAGACCAAACCAUUGUUUCCAGUUCCGUCCACAUCGAAUCAAGUAAGGUUACCAUCUCCACUGGCAUCGUCGUCCCCACAAGUUUCUGCACCACUCGUCAAUAACUUUAUGCGCCGUAACCAUGCAGCUGUUAUCUCCAUUAUAAGCGGCUACCCGCUCAAGUAGACCUAGAGUUGUCACGGUACGGCGAAGAGUAAUACCACCGAAAGGGUUAGCACCACAUUGGCGUUACUGUAAAUUUACUGGUUCCGCAAAAGUAGAUGAUAUUUCAUUUGAGCCUAAUGAAGAAAAGAGUGCCAUGGAAUACUUCAAGCUGUUCUUCUCAGACGACAUCGUCUCUCAUAUAGUGAAACAAAACAAAAUAUCUAUAGCACACAGAUAAAUGGUACAUCUACUAAUACUACAGAAGUUGGUGUCAAAGACUUUUUGACCUUUUGAAUUGACGACUCACAUAGUCGUUAAAAUGUGUAACGAUAUAAUAGAGGUAUAGUAGCUGAUAAUAUGACAUUAAAGAAAUUCUAACUA